rnacentral:misc_RNA from 1 species
CAGAAAUUAUGCUGGAUUUUCCCAACUACCUACAACAUCAAUUUUUAAUGACCAGAUAAGUUACUUGUAUACGAACAUCCGAGAAUUGAAGCAGUCGAGUCCUGCUGAUCAUCCGAGAUUUUAAUGACCAACUAAUAUUGUUGUACUAAUCUAUUGUGCAUCUGUUAUUUCAUUUAUUGAUGCUUCCAUUGCCUACAUUAAUAUUAUUAAAGUAACCAAAAGUCUAACAAAAAACAAAU